rnacentral:rRNA from 1 species
AUGGCGAUGGGUCACCUCCAUGCCUUCCUAGUUUCCCUCCUCGUGCAGAUCUUCCCGCUCUUGACGAUUGCUGCGUCGGUGAAGGUGCAAGGCAGGCCUGUGAACCCGGAGUCGACACCCGGUUGUUGUCUCACUCCCGUUUGCUGUUUCAACCACCCCAAGUGCUGCCAAAGCGCCAUUCCCUGA